AAUGAACGCUGGCGGCAUGCCUUACACAUGCAAGUCGAACGGCAGCAUGACCUAGCUUGCUAGGUUGAUGGCGAGUGGCGAACGGGUGAGUAAUGCAUCGGAACGUGCCUUUUAGUGGGGGAUAACGUAGCGAAAGUUACGCUAAUACCGCAUAUUCUCUGAGGAGGAAAGCCGGGGACCUUCGGGCCUUGCGCUAGAAGAGCGGCCGAUGUCGGAUUAGCUAGUUGGUGAGGUAAAGGCUCACCAAGGCAACGAUCCGUAGCGGGUCUGAGAGGAUGAUCCGCCACACUGGGACUGAGACACGGCCCAGACUCCUACGGGAGGCAGCAGUGGGGAAUUUUGGACAAUGGGCGCAAGCCUGAUCCAGCCAUGCCGCGUGAGUGAAGAAGGCCUUCGGGUUGUAAAGCUCUUUCGGCUGGGAAGAAAUCGCACCCUCUAAUACAGGGUGUGGAUGACGGUACCGGCAGAAGAAGCACCGGCUAACUACGUG
rnacentral:rRNA from 1 species